rnacentral:rRNA from 1 species
GAGUUUGAUCGUGGCUCAGAUUGAACGCUGGCGGCAUGCCUUACACAUGCAAGUCGAACGGCAGCACGGGAGCUUGCUCCUGGUGGCGAGUGGCGAACGGGUGAGUAAUGCAUCGGAACGUAUCCUGGAGUGGGGGAUAACGUAGCGAAAGUUACGCUAAUACCGCAUAUUCUGUGAGCAGGAAAGCGGGGGACCUUCGGGCCUCGCGCUCUUGGAGCGGCCGAUGUCGGAUUA